rnacentral:rRNA from 1 species
UAAUACCCUAUAGGUAUUUGAAGUUGAAAUACUCAGAUACUGAAAGCGUGAGCGCCAGAGGGUGAGUCUGCGGCCUAUCAGGUAGUAGGUGGUGUAAUGGACCACCUAGCCUAAGACGGGUACGGGCCUUGAGAGAGGAAGCCCGGAGAUGGAUUCUGAGACACGAAUCCAGGCCCUACGGGGCGCAGCAGGCGCGAAACCUUCACACUGCGCGUAAGCGCGAUGAGGGGAGACCGAGUGCCUUCUCUUUACGGGAAGGCUUUUCACAAGCCUAAAAAGCUUGUGGAAUAAGGGCUGGGCAAGACGGGUGCCAGCCGCCGCGGUAAUACCCGCAGCUCAAGUGGUGGUCGCUAUUAUUGAGCCUAAAACGUCCGUAGUCGGCUUUGUAAAUCCUUGGGUAAAUCGGGUUGCUCAACGAUCCGAUCCCUGGGGAGACUGCAAAGCUUGGGACCGGGCGAGGUUAGAGGUACUCUCGGGGUAGGGGUGAAAUCCUGUAAUCCCGAGGGGACCACCUGUGGCGAAAGCGUCUAACUUGAACGGCUCCGACGAUGAGGGACGAAGGCUAGGGGAGCAAACCGGAUUAGAUACCCGGGUAGUCCUAGCUGUAAACACUGCCCGCUUGGUGUGGCCUGUCCUCCGGGGGCAGGCCGUGCCGGAGCGAAGGUGUUAAGCGGGCUGCUUGGGGAGUACGGCCGCAAGGUUGAAACUUAAAGGAAUUGGCGGGGGAGCACCGCAACGGGAGGAUGCGUGCGGUU